rnacentral:rRNA from 1 species
UUUUAACUGGCUCAGAUUGAACGCUGGCGGCAGGCCUAACACAUGCAAGUCGAGCGGUAGAGAGAAGCUUGCUUCUCUUGAGAGCGGCGGACGGGUGAGUAAUGCCUAGGAAUCUGCCUGGUAGUGGGGGAUAACGUUCGGAAACGGACGCUAAUACCGCAUACGUCCUACGGGAGAAAGCAGGGGACCUUCGGGCCUUGCGCUAUCAGAUGAGCCUAGGUCGGAUUAGCUAGUUGGUGAGGUAAUGGCUCACCAAGGCGACGAUCCGUAACUGGUCUGAGAGGAUGAUCAGUCACACUGGAACUGAGACACGGUCCAGACUCCUACGGGAGGCAGCAGUGGGGAAUAUUGGACAAUGGGCGAAAGCCUGAUCCAGCCAUGCCGCGUGUGUGAAGAAGGUCUUCGGAUUGUAAAGCACUUUAAGUUGGGAGGAAGGGUUGUAGAUUAUUC